rnacentral:rRNA from 1 species
AGUGAACGCUGGCGGUAGGCCUAACACAUGCAAGUCGAACGGCAGCACAGGAGAGCUUGCUCUCUGGGUGGCGAGUGGCGGACGGGUGAGGAAUACAUCGGAAUCUACUCUGUCGUGGGGGAUAACGUAGGGAAACUUACGCUAAUACCGCAUACGACCUACGGGUAAAAGCGGGGGACCUUCGGGCCUUGCGCGAUUGAAUGAGCCGAUGUCGGAUUAGCUAGUUGGCGGGGUAAAGGCCCACCAAGGCGACGAUCCGUAGCUGGUCUGAGAGAAGGAUCAGACACACUGGAACUGAGACUCGGUCCAGACUCCUACGGGAGGCAGCAGUGGGGAAGAUUGGACAAGGGGCGCAAGCCUUAUCCAGCCAUACCGGGUGGGUGAAGAAGGCCUUCGGGUUGUAAAGCCCUUUUGUUGGGAAAGAAAUCCAGCUGGCUAAUACCCGGUUGGGAUGACGGUACCCAAAGAAUAAGCACCGGCUAACUUCGUGCCAGCCGCCGCAGUAA